GGCGUUCGUCCCUCCUACAACGUCCGCAGCCUGCGCCGCGCGGUGGCUCUGGACUAGGCCUUUUCCUCUGGGUUGUGGAUCCUCUUCUCUAUGACUCCGUCCGAUCCCUAGUCUUUCUUCCAAAACAUCAUGAAACCCCCCCUCCAGGAGCCUUUCAUGCUUCUCUGUGUCUCAGUUUCCUCUUCUAUAACGUGGACGUAACAUGUUAUUCCCUCCAUAGCAGUGCUCCAUAUGUUUAGUUAUGAUUGUUGCUAUUAUUAAUAUUAUUGCUCUAUUAAUCCUGCUUGGCAGGACCUCUAGAUGACUUAAACAUCUCUGGCUUCACUGAUGGGGACACACACCAGCUCAGAGAGGUCAAGGGACUUGGCUCAAGUUUUAAAAAAUGAGUCAGAGGCCCGCUGGAUUGUAUUUUUCAUUCAUUCAUUCAUUCAACAAAUACUGAGCACCUAGCUGGGAAUACAGUGGCCAACAAGAAGUCCCUGCUCUCCUGGAGCUGACUUUUCAGCUCUGAAACUCUGAGCUCCUCUCCACCGUUCCAGCACUGGACACCAGGCCUGUUACCCAGAAGGAGCCGGCACAGGCGCAGGAACCAUCAGGCGAGCAGGAGCAGUUGGGGUCCAUUUAGAGGCAGGGAGAAGCAGGAGUUCCUGAUCAAGAGGCAAACACUCAGCGGGACAGAUGAAAAGCGUGCCUUAAUUACCUCUUUAAAGGACCUAUUUCCAAAUAUGGUCACAUUGGGGGCUAGGGCUUCAAUGUAUGGAUUUGGGUGGAGCAGGGCAUAAUUCAGUCCAUAACAGGGUCCACAGACCUCAUGUAAACACUGCUGCUGGGCAAAGGAGGCCAGCUGACUGUUGGGACCUGAAAGUGACAUGGUUAGAACUGCGUUUCAGAAGGACGCUUGUGGACCGUGUUGGUCUAUGAGUUCUGCUCUCCUGUGCCCCUCUGACCACUAAACUAUGUGUCCCCCUAAGCCAGCUGCUUCUCCUUUCAGGGCCUCAAGCAAAACAUGUAGAACAUCUCCCUAAGGACUCUUCUAGUCUAGAGCCCUCUGAUUUUUUUUUUUUUUUUUUUUGAGACAGAGCCUUGCUCUGUCGCCAGGCUGGAGUGCAGUGGCAUGAUCUUGGCUCACCGCAACUUCCACCUCCCAGGUUCAAGCAGGUCUCCUGCCUCAGCCUCCCAAGUAGCUGGGACUACAGGCGCAUGCCACCACGCCUAGCUAAUUUUUGUAUUUUUAGUAGAGACAAGGUUUCACCAUGUUGGCCAGGACGGUCUCAAUCUCCUGACCUCGUGAUCUGCCCGCCUCGGCCUCCCAAAGUGCUGGGAUUACAGGCAUGAGCCACUGUGCCCGGCCUAGAGCCCUGUGAUUAAUCCACUCAUUUCUUCUUGGUUUGGUCUCCCCACAAAUAUUUAUUAAAAACCUCUUGGACAAGGUCCCCACAAGACCUUGAGAGGACUCCACAAGGCAGGGACACAGUCACCAACUUGACAGAGUGGAUGGGAGGCCCAGGUGGGCAGACACACAGGCCGAGCUGGGGUGAGAAUGAGGCAUGGAGAGCCCUGCCUGAGGAUCCUGGGUAGGUGUGGGGCGGGAGGUCAGCUAGGACACCAGGCUUAAAAUCCUCUUGGCUCCUAGAAUAACACCCACCCCUCCCUCAGCAUGGCCUGGCACCAGGAGUGCUCCACUCCCACCUGGAAUGCUUGCUCUGCCUCCUAGCAGUCCUUCCACCAGGCUCACUGGCUUUAGGGAUUCUCCAAGCUGGAGCCACAGCCAGUUAAUCAAGUCAGGUCAAGGGCACCAGCCUCGCCACCAAGCUCAGUGGUCAAUUCUCCAUCCUCAGAUCACCUGACCCUGGGAUCAUUCCCAGGUGACUGGAUGGAUGGUGGUGCCCCUAACUGUGGGGGAAGCAUGGAGGAAGCGCACAGGGUCAGAGGAGGAGCCCCUGGGGAGUGAGGGAGGGUGGGGGGCUGCCCAGAGAGGACACACUCACAGCAGAUGUUGGAAUGUAAAGCGCAGGUGAGCGGCCUGAGUGAAGCUGGACAUUACUGACGGCGGAGGGACCAAGCCUGAAGCAAUGGGUGUAGACAGAUGAGAGGUCCGGAUGCUGUGGACAGACAGCAGAGCCUUGGAUGCCACCUGGGCAAUGACAACGACGAGGUCAGACCCAGGAGAGGCAGAAGAACCGGAAACCCCCUCCUCCAGCCCGCCCUGAGGCUCAUGUUUGGUGUGCAGGGAGGCUUGCCCAAAUCCCAGGGAAGCAUCUGAGGGGAUGACCUCUGGCCAUCAAGUCCACAUGGGUCACCCUCCAUUGUCCUCAGCCCUGACCACUGGCUGCUGCGGCUUAUAGGCUUAUCAAGACCCUGCAUUACUGACUGCCAGAAGCGAGGCCUAGACCCCACCCAUCUGGGAUGCCCCAGAUAGGUUCUAUCCUCAUCUGCCCCCCUGCCACAGGUUAGCAGGACGAGGCCAAGUGCCAUGAUCUGAACGUCCUGCCAGAUUCACAUGUUGAAGUUUAAUCACCACUGUGACAGUAUUAACAGGUGGGGCCUUCAGGGAAUGACUAAGUCAUGAGGGCAGAGCCCUCACGAUGGGAUUAGUGAUGUUAUGGAAAGGCGUGAGGGGCCAGUUCAUCCCAUCCACGGUGUGAAGACACAGCCUUCACGAUGGAGCAGCAACAAGGCAAUGUCUUGGAAGUGGAGACUGGGCCCUCACCAGACACCAAGCUUGAUGGUGCCUUGAGCUUGGACUUCUAAGCCUCCAGAAAUGUGGGAAAUACAUUUCUGUUGCUUAUAAAUCACUCAGUCUGUGGUAUGGUAUAUAGCAGCACAAGGGAACUAAGACACCAAAGCAAAGAGAAGGCUAACUUCUUGGCUUCUGGCUUCCCGAACAACUGUCCCAGCCCUGGGUGGCUGCACUGGUUGCAGAUGGUUCUACUGACUCCAUCCUCUUUGGUAUCUUUUUAGUAUGAUACCUGGAUUGUCUUUUGACCUUAGAAUCUCAGGAUUUGUCAUUUUUGUUUAGCCCAUGUGACACCUCCCUGGUUUGUGAUUAGGCUGUAAGCUCCUUCAUGGGUGGGCCUCUUUUGUGUCUUGUGUGUGUCCCAGUGCCUCGGGGGUCACAGAUGCUCAGGGAAUGCUUGCUGAGAGUGAAUAGUCUCCCAGUCAGUUCCAGGUGUUCUAGGCCUUGUCAACGGGCCACAGCCCAUGUCCUCGGGCAGGAGCAUCCUCCCUCUCCCCAGGCUUCUGCUGGAAAGGAGCCCUCCUUCUCUUCCUUGCAGUAGGUGGGCAGACAGGCUCCCUGGUGGGUGCAGAACACACUCUGCUAGGACUUUUUGGCAUUUACUUAAGACAUGGGCUUGGCUUUGUGCAUUCCGACAGGCUCUGGACCCAGAGCCCAGCCCCAUGAGAAAGAUGGUAAUUUUCCCACAGCUGAGGGCUGGGGAAGGAAAGGCAGGGUGGCCUUUUGGGGAAUCACACCCAUCCAAUGGAUUAAACGAUUCUUGGCUGGUUCCAGCUAAGUUGCUAACCUGUGAGGCUGGCUGCCAUCAUUGCCAUUUUACUGAUAAAAUUGAGGCUCAGUGAGGCAGGAUGACUUGCUCCAGCUCAAAGUGACAGUCAGCUCCUGAACCUAGGUCUGCCCUGUCCUACUGCCUCUAAGUCCCUUCUGAGUCCACAGAACUACGUCUCAAAAAAUUGAAAUGGCAUCAAGCGUUUCCUUGGUUCCAAUCUUGAUCUGAUGCAUCUCUGUUAUUUCCUCCCAUGCAGGUGGUCAGACCCUGUUUGAACACUUCCAGCCGUGGGCAAAUCAUCACCUCACACAGCAUCCACUGACAUGCUGGCAGUGUUUGUGGGAAGAGAAGUAGUAAAGCCACUGAGACCAGAAGGUGGAACUUAGCUGGGAGUCUCUCCUUGGCCUGGGGGAGGUGAAAAGGCACAGAGCACUAAGACCCAGUCAUGUGCGGCAGCACCACGCAGAGGCCAGCCUGCAGGAUUUUCACGGGCAAAAUUUUGGUGGAUGCUUCCUCUCCUGCCUGGACGUGGGGGUGCUCAAAGCCUACCACUUCUAGGAACCUUUCUCAGGCCUCACGGGAGGAGUAAUGAAGGCAAAACCUUGGGCUGAGGUGCUGAUUCCUGCACUGUCUCCCCUUCCCCAGGCAGAUUUUCAAUUUACACCCGAAUGUGCAUAGGCCUCUGGCCCUUUAUUUAUUUGUUGGGAGAUGGAGUCUCGCUUUGUUGCCCAGGCUGGAGUGCAGUGGUGCAAUCUUGGCUCAAUGCAGCCUCCACCUGGGUUCAAGUGAUUCUCCUGCCUCAGCCUCCUGAGUAGCUAGGAUUACAGGCGUGCACCACCAUGCCUGGCUAAUUUUUGUAUCUGUAGUAGAGAAGGGGUUUUGCCAUGUUGGUCAGGCUGGUCUUGAACUCCUGACCUCAAGGGAUCCACCUGCCUUGGGCUCCCAAAGUAUUGGGAUUACGGGCGUGAGCCACCAUGCCCAGCCCACUGACCCUUUAGUAUCCAGAAAAGCAAGAACCCUGGCUGGGGAGUGCUGUGCUGGCCCUGCAGUGGAAGGCAGUAGCUGCCAACUUACUAUGUGCUGGGCGUUGUGCUGGCGCUUUUCACAUACAACUUCAAUUAACCCACAGGCUCCUAUAAGGUAGAAGCAACUACAUUUACAGAUGAGGAAGCUUGUAUCCAAGGUUAAGUAGUAAGUAGGGAAAAGCAGGAUUAAGCCAUAGGCCUUCGGAGCUUCGGGACUGCGUUCCAAACCAUCAUCUGCUGUGCCUCUUCAUGCCCCUGGGGCCCUGUGUCUUCAUCUUUGCUUAGGGGGCCAGGGAAGAUGCAAAUGUCGUCCUGGCCCCUGGGCCUCUGCUCCAAGCUCAUGACCACUCUUGGAUGUCCAUUGCAGGCUGGUACUGAGGCUCUGAAACACCAAGCCCUUCAAGCGUGAUGGAGGGAGCUGGUUUAUUAUUAAAUGGCAUUGUCCCCAAGGAGUGGCAACUCUCCACCUCUCCAUGAAAACACAACCUCCUAGAGAAGGUAUCUCUUUCCAACUACUGUGCCUUCAAUCUCCAACCUCAAUUGUUUCCCAUCAAGACAAUUUUUUUUUUUUUUGUAACAGGGUCUUACUUUGUCGCCCAGGCUGGCAUGCAGUGGCACAAUCAUGGCUCACUGCAGUCUUGACCUCCCUAGCUCAAGUGUGAUCUUCCCAUUCAGCCUCCUGAGUAGUUGGGACCACAAGCAUACACCACCAUGCUUGGGUAAAUUUUUUUUUUUUUAGAGAUGGGGUCUCACUAUAUUGCCCAGGCUGGUCUCAAACUCCUGGUCUAAGUGAUCCUCCUGCCUCAGCCUCCCAAAGUGGUGGGAUUACAGACAUGAGCCACUGUGAUUGACCUCUUUUUUUUUUUUUUGAGACAGUCUAACUCUGUUGCCCAGGCUGGAGUGCAGUGACACAAACUUGGCUCACUGCAACCUCUGCCUCCUGGGUUGGAGCAAUUCUCCUGCCUCAGCCUCCCAAGUAGUUGGGAUUACAGGUGCCUGCCACCAUGCCCGGCUAAUUUUUGUAUUUUUAGUAGAGACAGGGUUUCACUAUGUUGGCCAGGCUGGUAUCAAACUCCUGACCUUGUGAUCCGCCUGCCUCGGCCUCCCAAAGUGCUGGGAUUACAAGCGUGAGCCACUGCGCCCGGCCAGACCUCUUUUCUUUUUCUUUUUUUGCUAAUAAAACAGUUAAGACAAUUGUCCAUUUUAUUUGUUAAAUUGCUAAAAAGUCAUCAGGGGAAAACAUUAACAAAAAAU
rnacentral:lncRNA from 1 species